CUGGAUGACUGGAGCCUGGAUUCUAUGGAGGAGAGCUACUCAGGAAAGCUGAUGAAGAGGAAAUUUGGACACAGACUGGUACAGAAGGAAGACCAUGUGAAAACACAAGAUGUCAAAGCAAGUAAGAAAAAUUAAUUUCAGAGAGGAAAAUAAAGUUGCUUGAGGGGCUCUUCAAUGACCAAAGGCCAUAAGAGACUGGAAGGCAAAAGGACCCAUUAAUGUAAUCCAAACAUCAGUCUCCUGCAGCAAAGAGGUGAAUGGAGAAGGGUGGAGAGUAGCUGUGGACGAGUGAAAAAGACAUCGCACCAUGUCUUCAAAUUACAUCCAGCAACUUCAUAUGAACUAUGAAACCCUUGUUGCCACAAUAGUCCCUCUUUGUUUGAACUACUACAAGAAUAAAGAAAUUUCUUUCUAAUCUUUUGCAGAAGAAUUACAUAGACUCUCACUUACUGCUCUUGUUUCAUAGGUGGCUGAUUUUCCAAUUAUAUUAAAUACUUUUGGAAGGGCUGGGACUACAUCUAAUUUCUUGAAAAGUCUGGUGCUGUGGAAGACCAAGACCCAGACUGUUGAGGUCAGCCUAAUGUAAUGUGAAAUAUCUAAACUCUGCGUACUUCUUUACCAUGAGUGUAUAGAUAAAAUAUCAUUGCAUUUAAGGAAAUUGCUUAAAGCCUCACAGUGAAUAAAGUUGACAAAACAUGUAGACUUAUUGCAGAUUUUAUGCAUUUAGGUUUUAUGGCUUCAUUUGCAAUCAGGACUCCCCUCCCCUCCCUUCCUCCCUUCCUUCCCUUCCCUUCCCUGUCCUUCUUUCUUUCCUUUCCUUCCCCUUCCUUCCUUCUCCUCGUCCUGUUUUUCUCCUCUUUCUUCUUCCUCUUCCUCUUUCCUACCUUCUCUCUCUCUUAAAUUUGGACAUUGUCUCUCAGACUUGAAAUUAUUUUUGAAAAGGC
rnacentral:lncRNA from 1 species